GAUGAACGCUGGCGGCGUGCCUAACACAUGCCAGUCGAACGAAGAAGCCCGGCUUGCUGGGUGGUUUAGUGGCGAACGGGUGAGUAACUCGCGCGUGACCUGCCUAUCUCUCAGGGAUAGGUGCUGUCAACGGCGCCUAACUCCGGACACAAGAUUUCUCGGCCUGGUGAGUUCCUGAGUAGAAUUUCGUUCUAGGAUGGACUAGCGGCUAAUCGGGUAGUUAGGGAGGUAUUGGCUGACCAAGCCCUCGACGGGUAGCCGACCUGAGAGGGGCACCGGCGACGCUACGCCUGAGACACGGCCCAGACUGCAACCGGACGCAGCAGUGGGGAAGAUUACACAAUGGGCGCAAGCCAGAUGCGGCCACGCCGCGUGAGGGAAGAAGGGCUUCGGGUCGUAAACCUAUGUUAGCAUAGAAGAGGCGAAAGUGACGGUACCUGCAGAAAAAGCACCGGCUAACUACGUG
rnacentral:rRNA from 1 species